rnacentral:sRNA from 1 species
AGCAGCCGCGGUAAUUCCAGCUCCAAUAGCGUAUAUUAAAGUUGUUGCAGUUAAAAAGCUCGUAGUUGAAUUUCGGGAUUAAUUUACUGGUCGUGCUAUUGUACGUACUGGUUUUAUUGAUUCCUCCCUUCUGACGAACUAUGAUGUCAUUAAUUUGGUGUCUUAGGGAAUCAGGACUGUUACUUUGAAAAAAUUAGAGUGUUUAAAGCAGGCUCACGCUUGAAUACAUUAGCAUGGAAUAACGGAAUAGGACGUUUGAUUCUAUUUUGUUGGUUUCUAGGAUCGACGUAAUGAUUAAUAGGGAUAGUUGGGGGCAUUAGUAUUCAAUUGUCAGAGGUGAAAUUCUUGGAUUUAUUGAAGACUAACUACUGCGAAAGCAUUUGCCAAGGAUGUUUUCAUUAAUCAAGAACGAAAGUUAGGGGAUCGAAGACGAUCAGAUACCGUCGUAGUCUUAACCAUAAACUAUGCCGACUAGGGAUCGGAUGAUGUUAAUUUCUUAAUGACUCAUUCGGCGCCUUAC